GACGAACGCUGGCGGCGUGCUUAACACAUGCAAGUCGAGCGAUGAAGCUCCUUCGGGAGUGGAUUAGCGGCGGACGGGUGAGUAACACGUGGGUAACCUGCCUCAUAGAGGGGAAUAGCCUUUCGAAAGGAAGAUUAAUACCGCAUAAGAUUGUAGCUUCGCAUGAAGCAGCAAUUAAAGGAGUAAUCCGCUAUGAGAUGGACCCGCGUCGCAUUAGCUAGUUGGUGAGGUAACGGCUCACCAAGGCGACGAUGCGUAGCCGACCUGAGAGGGUGAUCGGCCACGUUGGGACUGAGACACGGCCCAGACUCCUACGGGGGGCAGCAGUGGGGAAUAUUGCACAAUGGGGGAAACCCUGAUGCAGCAACGCCGCGUGAGUGAUGACGGUCUUCGGAUUGUAAAGCUCUGUCUUCAGGGACGAUAAUGUCGGUACCUGAGGAGGAAGCCACGGCUAACUACGUGCCAGCCGCCGCAGUAA
rnacentral:rRNA from 1 species